rnacentral:rRNA from 1 species
GACGAACGCUGGCGGCGUGCCUAAUACAUGCAAGUAGAACGCUGAAGGAGGAGCUUGCUUCUCUGGAUGAGUUGCGAACGGGUGAGUAACGCGUAGGUAACCUGCCUGGUAGCGGGGGAUAACUAUUGGAAACGAUAGCUAAUACCGCAUAAUAGUAGAUGUCGCAUGACAUUUGCUUAAAAGGUGCAAUUGCAUCACUACAAGAUGGACCUGCGUUGUAUUAGCUAGUUGGGGAGGUAACGGCACACCAAGGCAACUAUACAUAGCCGACCUGAGAGGGUGAUUGGCCACACUGGGACUGAGACACGGCCCAGACUCCUGCGGGAGGCAGCAGUAGGGAAUCUUCGGCAAUGGACGGAAGUCUGACCGAGCAACGCCGCGUGAGUGAAGAAGGUGUUCGGAUCGUAAAGCUCUGUUGGAAGAGAAGAACGAGUGUGAGAGUGGAAAGUACACACUGUGACGGUAUCAUACCAGAAAGGGACGGCUAACUACGU